rnacentral:rRNA from 1 species
GACGAACGCUGGCGGCGUGCUUAACACAUGCCAGUCGAACGCUGAAGCUCAGCUUUUGUUGGGUGGAUGAGUGGCGAACGGGUGAGUAACACGUGAGUAACCUGCCUCCUUCUUUGGGAUAACGCCCGGAAACGGGUGCUAAUACUGGAUAUUCACUGGUCUUCGCAUGGGGGUUGGUGGAAAGGGUUUUUCUGGUGGGGGAUGGGCUCGCGGCCUAUCAGCUUGUUGGUGGGGUGAUGGCCUACCAAGGCUUUGACGGGUAGCCGGCCUGAGAGGGUGACCGGUCACAUUGGGACUGAGAUACGGCCCAGACUCCUACGGGAGGCAGCAGUGGGGAAUAUUGCACAAUGGGCGCAAGCCUGAUGCAGCGACGCCGCGUGAGGGAUGGAGGCCUUCGGGUUGCGAACCUCUUUCGCUCAUGGUCAAGCCGCAACAAUGGUUGUGGUGAGGGUAGUGGAUAAAGAAGCGCCGGCUAACUACGUG